UACGUAGGGGGCGAGCGUUGUCCGGAUUUAUUGGGCGUAAAGAGCGUGUAGGCGGCCAGGUAGGUCUGCUGUGAAAACUCGAGGCUCAACCUCGAGACGUCGGCGGAAACCAUCUGGCUAGAGUCCGGAAGAGGAGAGUGGAAUUCCUGGUGUAGCGGUGAAAUGCGUAGAUAUCUGGAGGAACACCGGUGGCGAAGGCGGCAUCCUGGACCAACACUGACGCUGAGUGAGCGAAAGCCAGGGGAGCAAACGGG
rnacentral:rRNA from 1 species